AUCUAAGUACCCCGAGGAAAAGAAAUCAACCGAGAUUCCCCCAGUAGCGGCGAGCGAACGGGGAGGAGCCCAGAGCCUGAAUCAGCAUGUGUGUUAGUGGAAGCGUCUGGAAAGGCGCGCGAUACAGGGUGACAGCCCCGUACACAAAAGCGCAUGUGCUGUGAGCUCGAUGAGUAGGGCGGGACACGUGGUAUCCUGUCUGAAUAUGGGGGGACCAUCCUCCAAGGCUAAAUACUCCUGACUGACCGAUAGUGAACCAGUACCGUGAGGGAAAGGCGAAAAGAACCCCGGCGAGGGGAGUGAAACAGAACCUGAAACCGUGUACGUACAAGCAGUGGGAGCACAGGUUUACCUGUGUGACUGCGUACCUUUUGUAUAAUGGGUCAGCGACUUAUAUUCUGUAGCAAGGUUAACCGCAUAGGGGAGCCGAAGGGAAACCGAGUCUUAAUUGGGCGUUAAGUUGCAGGGUAUAGACCCGAAACCCGGUGAUCUAGCCAUGGGCAGGUUGAAGGUUGGGUAACACUAACUGGAGGACCGAACCGACUAAUGUUGAAAAAUUAGCGGAUGACCUGUGGCUGGGGGUGAAAGGCCAAUCAAACCGGGAGAUAGCUGGUUCUCCCCGAAAGCUAUUUAGGUAGCGCCUCGUGAAUUCAUCUCCGGGGGUAGAGCACUGUUUCGGCUAGGGGGUCAUCCCGACUUACCAACCCGAUGCAAACUGCGAAUACCGGAGAAUGUUAUCACGGGAGACACACGGCGGGUGCUAACGUCCGUCGUGAAGAGGGAAACAACCCAGACCGCCAGCUAAGGUCCCAAAGUCAUGGUUAAGUGGGAAACGAUGUGGGAAGGCCCAGACAGCCAGGAUGUUGGCUUAGAAGCAGCCAUCAUUUAAAGAAAGCGUAAUAGCUCACUGGUCGAGUCGGCCUGCGCGGAAGAUGUAACGGGGCUAAACCAUG
rnacentral:rRNA from 1 species